UCAUUCUAGAAACACUUUCCAGUACCUCUACUUUGUUACGACUUAUUCCAAUUUUUAAAUGAAAGCGACGGGCAAUAUGUACAUAUUUUAAUUUUUAAUCAUUUUAUUAUAUUAAAUAAAAUUACAUUUAAAUCCACCUUCAUUAUAAUAUUACAAAAAAAAUCCAUUUAAAUAAAUUUAUUGUAAUCCAUCAUAUUCUUAAUUAUAUUCUACAUCUUGAUCUGAAUUAAUUUUUAUUUUUAAUUUUUAAAUAUUAUUAUUAUUUUAAAAUAUUUUUUUAACAACGAUAUAUAAAAUUUUAAAUUAAGUAAAUUUAAUCGUGGAUUAUCAAUUAUUAGACAGAUUCCUCUAAAUGAACUAAAAUACCGCCAAAUUAUUUAAGUUUCAAUAAAUUAUUAUUUACUAUUUUAGUAUAUAUAAAUUAAAAUUUA
rnacentral:rRNA from 1 species